ensembl:antisense Gm15860 predicted gene 15860
CCUCAGAACAAGCUGGCUAGUGAGAUUAGCCAUACUACAAGCUCUGGAUUUGAUUGAGCCAGUCUGCCUCAGUAAAUAAGCCAGACAGAGGAUGAUUCCAGACAUGGAUUGCCCUGGACAUGCAUGCCGUCCCAGGUAUAUCUGCACCCACACCACGCAUACAAAUGUGCAUACACACAUGCAGACCACACACACACACACACACAAGGGAGAAAAAUGUUUAUAAUGGUCGAUGUGAUGUUACCUGAGUUUGACUAUUAUGAAAAGGAAUCCAAAUGCGUUAGACCCAGCCAGAGUUCUACACAGCCGCCCUCGCCUUUCAAGCCGCUCAGGUGACAACCGGUUUGCUCCAUGAAAACUACCUGACUUCAGCUUGCUGUCUAUACCCUGAAGAUCCCCAGAGUAACAGCUUGUCCUUCCUCAAGGCUCUUUGCUUAGGAAGAAAGCAAAGAAUAGAACCUGCAAGAUGGCGUAUUCCCUUCCAAUCCUGGCGGCCUGAGUUUGAU